UUAUUACUGUCUGAUUUGAUCGGAGGCAGGGGGUGGUCUCCAAUCAAACAGAGAAAAGGUCCUGGAGAAGGUAAUUAAAUCCUGUCAGAGGCAAUUAUCGGUUCCAGGGCCAUGACUCUGGCCCUGAAUGCAGAUGAUCUGAAACUGUAUUCUUGUAGAGAUUCAAGAGGGCUCCUGGCGUGGUUCAGUUAGGCACAAAAGGAGCGGCAGGCUCUCUGCAAACAAUCAGCUUUGUAUUUGAACCUUUUCUUCCUUCUUUCCCUCUUUACCCGAAGAUUUCUGGUUUUUGUUGAUUUAAAAAAAAAUCCUUUUCAGACCACUUUCUAAUUAAUUUAAGAGACAACGUAUCGCUUUCUUGUACGUAAAUAAUGAUACGUUUUACCAAAGAACUUCUGCCUCCAAACACAGGCUAGUUCAAACAGGCUUUACCAAGGCAGAGGGAAAGAUCCCACGCAACAGCAGUCGGUAGCUUAGACCACAUGAGGAGAGACUGUCACAUUCCAAGGCGGUGGUGGCUCAGACUUAAGACCCUAGCUUAAAAUAAGGGUGUGUGUGUGUGUGUGUGUGUGUGUGUGUGUGUGUGUGUGUGUGAAUUCCGCCCUAUGACAAUCUCGAAGUUUCUUCAAGGUAAUCUACUGGUGUUAGCCUGCAUCGAGUGGGGAUAAUUUAUUUACUUUUACUUUUUAAAUUUAUGAGAAGGUUUCUCUCUUACACUAAGAUAAUCAUGAAUUCCUAGCUACUGUCAGGUUAAUAUCAAAAGCAGAAAUGUGUGAUACCCCACAGCCUCAGCACUAUUUAAAAAUCAGAAGGUAGUAUAGUGUCUCCCUGUUGUCCCCUACAGCCCCACAGGAGGAGGGUAAAGUGAAGUUUAGAAUGUAAGGAAAGUGCAUCCUCUCAAAUAUUUAGGGGCCUCCAUUUGUAACUGGAGGUCUAGAUUAUCAGGAGAGAAAAAAGGGAUAAGGUGUUUCCAUCUGAGAAGAGGAAGCGAGCGAGCUCUGUAGGCACAGAUUUGUUCUUACAGAUACAGAGGGCUUCAGUUACCCUUCCUGUGUGAUUUCUCAUCGGCUGCUAUUACAUAGGUUUUAUGAUGUGGGUUUUGCCCAGUAAUUUGGGACUAGGAGGUAAUUGUCUCUGGAACCUGAAAAGUGUUUGUUGUCGUCAACAGUCUGAAGGCAAUCGUUGUUUCUGUGCUUUCCUUUAUCUUUAUCCGUAUCAGACAGCAUAGAAAUAGCGCCGCUGCACCCCACAAACACCCACUUGCCCAACUUGAAGCCUAGAUUUCAUCCACUGUGUGCUGUGAGCAUAGGCAUUAUUUUUACAAGGAUAAGAUGUUCAAAACACCAUUAAAACAAUUUCCGAGUUGUUGCUGAUGAAACAGUUUAAACACUAGGGUUUCUCCCCAGGGAACAGUUAACUUUCCUGUAAUCUUGGCUGCUUUCUUUGUUCUAAAACACCAUAUUCCUUAAUAUGUGCAACUAUUUGUUUUGUUGAAUCUAAAUAGAUACUCUAAGCAAAACAGAUUUUUUUUUUUUUUGGAAGUAGUCCCUGCUACUAGUCCAUUAAUCAGAAUGAGGUAUUAGGCUGGGAGAGAAAUUUGUGGGAGACGAUGUUAAUAACACUGGGUAGUGCUUCACCACUGAAGAGCUAGAUUGUAAACAGCCCCAAGUCCCGCACUGCACGCAGGACUGGGAAAAUGAUAUUUGGUUCAUUCUAUAUUGUGCUUUUCUGCAACAUCAAAAGCUCCAUAAACCUUUCUAAUAAAGAUAAAAUAGAUCCAAACAAACAAAUUGCUCACCAGUACGACAUACUUUAGGUCAAUAGAAGGAAGGUUCACUGCUAGUGUUGAAAAAUAGUUGCAUGUCUUUAAAUGAUUUGUUUGUUUUCCUCUGUGGGAGUGACCAACCUUUCUUCUUUCUCUCCUUCCUUCCUUCCUUCCUUCCUUCCUUCCUUCCUUCCUUCCUUCCUUCCUUCCUUCCUUCCUUCCUUCCUUUCUCCCUCACUCCCUCUCUCUCUUUCCUUUGAACUAUAGUAUUUCUUUUUGUUUAGUUAGGCAUUGUAUAUUAUUAUGUGUUUAUGUUAUUUUGUGGCAGCUGUUUUAAUAAAGAUCCCCUCAGAAAGAAAGCUUUGGGGGGUGGGGAAAGAGACAACACUUACAAAUAGAGCAAAAGAAAUGAAAAUGUUUCCUCUGAUAGUUAAAUCAAUGCUUUAAAUUUGAAAAACAAUGAGAAGGAAAUGAGGCUGGAAUACCCAGGACCACUUUACUAAAGAAUCCAGCAUCCUCAGGGCAGCAAAUGUCUUUUAGAUGUAUCUUUAAAGCUGUCCUGCUGAAUUGGAAGUCCCUGGAGGGCAGAACUGGCACCCUGUUCAAUCUGGAAUGCCCAGAAAUUCAAUCAACAGAAGUCAGUAUUGAUUUCACACCCUCCUGGACCCCUAUUUGAGUCUCUGUGUGGUGGCCCCUCUCCCCGGAAGUGAAGUCUUCCAGACUAUGAGUAAGUAUAUCGCAACAUUUUUUUUUUAUGAUGUGGGAGACUCAAUCCUGAUCUGAUUAUUGUUUUCCCACAUCAAGUGUCUAAUCUGUACCUUAAAAAAAUAGGAGAGUUUCAAUGUUCCCAUUUAAUUUUCUGCUGGCUCAAACUUGAACCACCAGGACUCCUUC
rnacentral:lncRNA from 1 species